rnacentral:lncRNA from 1 species
CUUUAUUGAGGUGUAAUCAAUAUAGGAAAACUGCACAUAUUUAAUGUAUACAAGUUGAUAAAUUUGGACAUAUAUGCAUAUACCCAUGAAACUAUCACCACAAGAAGCGAGUCAUAGCUGCAUAUGGCUAUAGAUGUGAAAUGACAGGGGAGUGCUGAAGAAACUAUUGCUUAUAAACAGAAGGGACUUGCCUUGUCUCAGAUGAGACUUUGGACUUAGACUUUUGGGUAAUGCUGCAAUGAGCUAAGACCUGCGCUGAUGGAAAGACUGAAGUACAGUGACACGAUCUUGGCUCACUGCAACCUCUGCUUCCUGGGUUCGAGCGAUUCUCCGGCCUCAGUCUCCCAAGCAGCUGAAACUACAGAUGCAGAUAAGAAACGUGGGAAGCCACAAGAAAGCCAAGUAGCCUGGGAAAAAGUGGUCAUUGAGCCAUGAGAAAAAAUUAACAUUUGAUCCUGUUGGUGCCACCUGAAGGCAGAGAUGGCUGAGGACCCCCGAGUAAUGUAUGAAUGAAAGACUUAAGAAUACAUCUGACCCAGGCAGCCUGGGUUCAACUCUCCAUGUGAGAAUACCAAGCUUGGCUGGGCACAGUGCCUCACAUCUGUAAUCCCAACACUUUGAGAGGCUGCGGCAGGAAGAUUACUUGAAGCCAAGAGCUGGCGAACAACCUGGGCAACAAAGUGAGACUUCAUCUCUACAAUUUUUUUUUUAAUUAGCCGGAUGCAGUGGUGCACACCUGUAGUCUCAGCUUCUCAGGAGGCUGAAGUAGGAUUGCUUGAGCCUGUGAGCCCAGAAGUUUGAGACGGCAGUGAGUUACGAUCACACCACUGCAUUAGAGCCUGAAUGGCAGAGUGAGAGCCUAUCUCUAAACUAAGUAAACAAAUACAGACAUACAUACAUAAAGUAAGAAUUAUUAUAAUAACAAGAAUACAAGCAGUCUGCAAUUUGUGUUUAUGGUGCUAACUGCAACUCAUGUAUGUGGUACCCUCAUUUUUCACAAUAUCAUGGUAACUAAAUAACUGUGCAAAUUAAGAGUACAGUUCUUAUGUGUAUGUUUUAUAGUUAAUACAUACUGUUCAAAAAAAGAACUACCUGUACUAAAUAAGAAUAAUAUAGGUGGACUUGUCUACUGCCUAAUAAAACACAUGAUAAAGCACUACAAAUGAAAGACAAUAGUUCUUACAAGCAAAUAGGGAAUGCAGAGGAAAAAUAAUAGAGGGGCAUCUCAGUCAAGAUUCAAAUUUAGUUUAUAAUAAAUACAAAACUUUUCUCUCAAUUUCUGGAUCUGGAUUAUAU